rnacentral:rRNA from 1 species
AUUGAACGCUGGCGGCAUGCCUUACACAUGCAAGUCGAACGGUAACGGGUCCUUCGGGAUGCCGACGAGUGGCGAACGGGUGAGUAAUAUAUCGGAACGUGCCCAGUAGUGGGGGAUAACUGCUCGAAAGAGCAGCUAAUACCGCAUACGACCUGAGGGUGAAAGGGGGGGAUCGCAAGACCUCUCGCUAUUGGAGCGGCCGAUAUCAGAUUAGCUAGUUGGUGGGGUAAAGGCCUACCAAGGCAACGAUCUGUAGUUGGUCUGAGAGGACGACCAGCCACACUGGGACUGAGACACGGCCCAGACUCCUACGGGAGGCAGCAGUGAGGAAUCUUGGACAAUGGGCGCAAGCCUGAUCCAGCCAUGCCGCGUGAGUGAUGAAGGCCUUAGGGUUGUAAAGCUCUUUUGCCGGGGAUGAUAAUGACCGUACCCGGAGAAUAAGCCACGGCUAAAUUCGUG